CCCUGAUUUCAAUGAGAAAUACAGAGAGACAGAGAGAGAGACAAAAUGGCGAAUCAAGAUAAUAAUGAUGUACACAUAUUAUUGUUUAUCAUUAUUUAUUAAUGGAUAAUGAUCAUCACGAGAGGAUGGAGAUCAUGGUGAUGAUGGUGAUCAACCCAAACCAAUGAAACAAUGAUCAAGAUGAUGAUAAUAAUAAUAAUAGUUCCAAUGGAAUCAGCAACAGAAGGAGAACCAAAAGUACAUCAUCAUGUUAAAAUGAUGAUGAUGAUGAUAAAAUAUAUUGAUGAUAUAGUUGAUGUUAAUAGUAGAUAAUAUAAGAGUAAUAAGAGAGUAGAAACCAAGACAAUGGUGAACCAACGUUAAGAAAAUGAUCAAGAGAAUAGAAAGAAAAAUUAAUAAAUGGAAAGAUAAUUAGUCACAAUUAAAUGGAAUGAAUUUAGUAAAACCAAUCCAAGUAAAAUUAUGUGGCUAAACGUUGAACAGAAUGAUAACAAUUAAGAAGAUAAAUAAUUAAAGCUCAAUACAGUUGAUUGAUUACAAAAGAAUAGAAAACAAAAGAGUCUCUGUCUUUUUCUGUGUCUACAUUUUCGUUACCACAAAAGAAGAAAAAUUUUCCCGGUAAAUUGUUUUUCUAUUUCUCUUAUUAUGAUGAAUGUAUUUUUUUGUUCUCUUUAAUUAAAUUAAUUUCUAAUCAAAAGUAAAUUACUUUUUUAACAAAUUCAUCUCUCUAAUUAUCGAUGAAGUUAAUUUCUGUCUUGUGAUUGAUUGUUAAAUCAAAUUGUGAUUGUAUAUGAUUACCCAACCAUGAAUAUGUAACCAUUUUUUUCACUUCACCGACUAAAACCUUAUUAACUCUUUGCUUUUAAUUUAUCUUCUUGUUUGGUAAAAAAAAAUGGUCGACAUUUUGGUUUAAUCUUAUGCUUUUUGAUGAUCAUCGGUGAAAAUUGUGAUUGGUAUUUGAAAAUGUUAUUUUUCUGUUAGAAGAAAAUAUUAAUCAAAGAAGCAGAAGGAUUUUCUUUGUGAGGUUAUGGUUACAUCGUCAAAGGUUAAUUUGAUUAAAUUAAGUCUACAUUUUUUUUUCUCUCACCUUUUUGGUUUCCAUGUUAUUUGUGUGUAUUUGCUUGAACAGGACUCAAAAUAAUAUUCCAUCAUCAUAAUAAUCUCCUAAUUCAGUGACUCUCAUUAAUAUAAAUCUUUACCAUGAUAAUGGACAAUGUUCAUAUGAAUAGGUUGAAGAAAACUAAUCAUUAGCUAUUAUUUAUUUUCCAUGGGAAAAGUGAACGAGAACCAGAAAACCAAUUGGAACGAAAUGUAAUCAAAGUAAAAGAAACGAGACAGAAAAUGUUGACAAUUUCUCUUUAAAUUUAUGGAUAAUACAUCGGGAUAAAAAAGAUAAAACAAUCACUCUACCUGAAGCCUUUCAAAUGUCAAUGUAUUUAAGGGGCGAAUGUUUGUUCAAAGGCUUGUCAAGGCAAAAUCCAAUACACUGGUCACUUCAACAUCGUUAUACAAUUCCAGAAGAGUCUACAUUAAAGGAAGAGAAAAAAAUCUGUAGAAAAAAGAAAAGGCAGAACAAAAAACUAGAAGAAAAAAGAAACUGGAUGCUCGAAAAAAAACUCGAUGAUAAACCAGUAAAAACGAUUCCUAAAGACAUUAUAUGAGCAUCAAUCUAUUAAUAUUGGACUUUGCUAUCAUUUAUCCAUUGUUAAGAUCAGAGGAGUAAUAAUUUUUCUUUGUCUUCUAUUUUUUUCAUCUUCUUUCACUUUCUACUCCAUUUCACUUCCUCCCUCUGUCCUUUACUUCAUUCAUGUAACUCAGGUUGGGUGAUUUGGCUCAAAGAGACCAAGAUGAUGGUGAUAAUAAACAUAACAAGUAUUUGGAUCAAUAGUCACAACAACAAAAAAAGGUAUUUGAUAUCUGCUUACUAUUUUUGUCUCUUGUAUUAUGGCAAAGGGAAAUAAUAGAUGAAAUAACUGAUCUAUGCACGAUUAUAAUCAUUAUGCAAAUUACCAAUCAACAAGCAUACUGAAAUUCAUGCCUUAUCUUUACCAUGAAUAUACUUUUGCUCCUGUUGAAAAUAGAAGAUGGAAAAUCUCUCAUGUUCAAAUAAUGGUAUUGGUUACACAUACUCAAUGUCACAGUAACAUUAACCUAAUCGGAAGUUAAUGAAACAUUUCAUGAAAAGCUUUCCAGUAACCUAAAGAUUUGAAACAUUUGUGUAAUGAUUGCUGAUUUGAGAGAAGAUGAAGAAAUAGAAACCAGAAAGAAGGAAAAACCAAAGUAUAAAUUGGAGUAACUGAAAACUACAACAUUUACUGACAACUUUUGGGUUAAGCUACCAAAGUGUAACAUAAGACAUGAAAACUCAAUCGGAGGAUAAAUAAAAUUUUUGGACGUGAAUGCUGAAAGAAAAGAAAGUGUAGAGCAAAUAAGACCACAAAGUUAAGAGAAAGAUGAUGACGAAGGAAGACGAGAAAAGAUGAACAAUAUCUUUUUCUAAAGAAAAAAGAUGGAGACCAAGUAGGAAUACCAUGUUAUUAUCAUUGUUAUUAUAACAACCAUCGGAGUGAGAAGAGGAACCAAGGAGGAUAAAAAGCAAAGGAGAAUUAUUUCUGGUCCUGGAUGCGCAUAGAGAGAGAAAAAUGUUGGUAUUCAAGACAAGAUGAAGAAUAUACUGUGAAAAAAAUCGAAUACAUUUAUAUGAUGUUUUGUGGAGUAUCACUCGGAGAAACACCAGCAAUUCUUGGACUUUUGAUAGAGAAAUAAGAGAAACAUAAAGACCAGAAGAAGUUUCAGAGGAGAAGAAUUAAUCAUCCAUUGGAAAUUUAAUGUUUCUCAUUGUGAAAUUGACCUUGAAGCGAAUAUAUUUCCAGGAGAAAGAGAAACGUAACAAUAUUCAUUAUGAUACAACUUUUAGAAGGGAAUCACCCGUGGCUCUCUCAUUCUGUUAUCCUAAUGGAUUGUUAUUGGUAAAAGUGACCGGUGGUCGUUUCUCCAUGGAUUCUAAUGGUCAAAAGUUAAAUCAUAAUCUCAAUCGUAAACUUAAUUUAAUAUUUUUCAUUCAUCAAUCUUAUGUCAAAACAAAUUACAAUCACAAUUUAAUAAUAAUGGUACAAAGGAUAAUUUUUUAUUUCCCUGGAAAUUAAAUUACUCCAAUUUGAUCUAAUCAACAUUAAUUUCUGAUACUUUGAUCACACAAACGUUCAUCACGACAACUUUGUGGUCACUAUUACAACACUGGACACGUAGUAUUUAUAAUUAACGUAUAUCUAACUCUAAUGACAACAAUACUUGUUCAAUCGUUAAUUUAUGCUAAUCAAUGUUUCAAAAAUUAACUCAGUCAAUUUUUCGUCACUUGAAUGAUGAUAAUGUUGGACAAUCGGAAUUAGAUAAUAUUUUAAAUGGCUGAUUAAGUUCUGAUCAAAAUGAUGUCCUGUUUGAGGUCAACAGAUUUCAUGCUCAUUCUCUUAAAUUACUUCAGAUUGGUGAAAGAUAAAGAGAGAUGAAGAUUAAAGAGAGAAAAUGAUUCAGUUCGAUAAAGAAUCAAAAAGGAAAAGGAAGAAAGAGAUUCAUUGGGUUACGAAGUCGUUAUACUAAAUAGCAUUUUUAACUCCCACUGGAAACAACAAAUUGACCCACUAAAAAGGAAGACAAGUUCCAUAUCAUUGUAAAGAAAAUCCAACAAUUUUACCAAAAGAAGAUGAAAAGUGAUGUGAUUUGUUACCAUUUUCAGGAGAAAAGAAACUUGAACAGUUUCGAAACAGUAAGAAAAAAGAAAAUACUGUUCACAAAUUGUCAUAGACAAAGACAUAAACUAUCAUGACAGUUUUUUUUAUGCUGUUAUCAUAACAAGCAUUCAAACGAUAUAUCUCAUGGUAAAUGUUGAUUCCAUCAUCAUCAUCACCAUCAUUACCAAAAAUAUCAUUGAAAAAGUUAGCACAACAUUUAAACAAACUCCCAAUAGAUUGGAAAAGGAUUUUGCUCAUCACAACCAAUAUUCAUGGGAUAUAAACACUGAAUGUGUAACACUUAAAGCUGAAAUAUCAUCUCCACUGAAAUACCAAUCAUCAUGAUCAUCACCAUAAUAAUGGUAAUAUUAUGAAUUGAAAGGCUCAACUAAAUCAACGAGUUGAAAGUCAGACGAAAAAAGAAGAUACUUUUCAUGAAUUCAUAUAAACAACAAUAAAAAAUCAAUACGAUUAUUAUCAUGAUCAUUGACAAUUUGGCGAAAUUAUCAUCUUUAUUGGAUCAUGAAGAAAGAAGGAAAAGUGACCAAUGCUAAGGAAUGGCUAUCAUGACCUAACAAUCUCACCUUUUACAAACAUCUCUGGACAUUUUCUCAUUCAUUUAAAGGUCAAGCAUCUGAUCAUCUUAUAUAAAUAUGAAUGAAAAUCUUAUUGUGAUAAUGAUAGUUAUUAUCUUGAUCUCCAUUAUCAUGAUAAUUAUUGUAAUUACGAUCAAAUGUUAAACCUGAAUCAUCGUAGAGAAAAAUUAUCCCAUAUCUAUUUCAUGAAUCUUUGAGAUGAUUUUCAUGAUAAUUUCUUGUGCUUGAAUCACCAUUUGAACAUCAAAAAAUCAUAAUCCAAGUUAAUUCUUAGAUGAUUAUCAUCCUAAUCAUCACCGGCAUCCACAAUUAUCUCAACAACAAAACCAACAAUGUACUUUUGCGUGUUUAACUUUUUCGUGAGAAAUUCGGAAAAUAUUGGAUUCGCUAUAUAAAAAUUGGAAAUUCUACCAGGCUAAUUAUUGGUCUAUUGCGUGAUAAUGAAUGAAAUUCAUGUUCGAAAACCAAAGCAAAGGUUCAAUUCAGUAUCAUCUUUUUUUCGCAUCUGUCAACCAAUGGAAAGUUAAUAAAAUAAUCCUCUCAUGUUUCAUGAUGCAAUAUAUUCUGUUGAGGACUGUCGAGUAAAAUGACAAAGGAGACGAAAAAAACAUCGAAAAAUAUGUAUAAUUGACUAACAUCAUCUUCGCCAUAGUGAUGAACCUGAUUCAUGUUAAAUGUUGUUAAAUGUGAUUAACACAAUUCUCCAACAAGAACAAUUAUCUUCGGUAUCACCUGAUUAAAUAAAUUACUAAUAAUAUGGAUUAAGAAAGUAUGGGAGAAAAUAAUUAACUCUGGAAAUGAUAAUAUUAAUUUACCAAUCCCAGGAAUCCCUAGGAAUUUACUUAUAAUUGUUCACGAUCAUUAGUUGACACAAAAUCUUUUCUAUUAUUAAUUGUAUUGUUAUUGAUUGUACUUGAACCAUUUAUUGUUAUUUUUGUAUCAUUGUUAUAAUAUUUACUUAUCGUAUCAAUAUUAACCUUCGUUAUAUUAAUAGAUUAAUAGUGAUUCCCAAACAAUAAUUGUAAAUCUAGACAUUGAUUAUAAUUUUGAUGUAUUAUAAUCAAAUUGAUUGACAUUUUGUACUUUUCGCAGAUUCAAUUGAAAAAUGUAUUUUGUAAUCAGUUUAAAUCAAAUUUAACUAUCAAACUGAUUUAAUUUAAUCUCUAUUACAAAUUGAUUCAGUUUUUUCUUGCUCAUUGUAAACUCUGAAAGAUUAACUUAUAGUUUUUUUUUAUAUUAUUAUUUUUCUGUGAAUUUAAUCCACUUUAAAAAUACUAAAUCGUUUAGACUUUAUUAUAACUGAUUAACUGAUCGUUUCAAAUUAUUUCAUUAUUCUACUUUGUUUGGUUAAUCUACUAAUUCAUCUUCAAAAGAGUUAAUUGUUUCGUAUACAUCAAUUGAUUGUCUUCAGUUCACAUGAUAAUUAAUGAUUGUUACAUUUAAAUUUUAUUCUCUUUUCUUUCUCGAUUUAUAGUAUAAAUAUAUUGUUAUCAUUCCUUGUACUACACUACUGAUUAAAGGUAAUUUUCGUCGAAAAAGAACAAAAAAGUUCGAAUUUUUUUUGUUCGUUGCUCGUUCCAUUGUUAUUAUCUGUAAAGUGUGAAGGCUUUUUUCACCUUUUUCCAUUUUAAAUAAGAGAAAAACUCGAGAUGAUUUACUAGUUUAUCUUUUGUAUCAUUAUGUAAUUUUGUUGUUCACUAAGCAAUUUAGCUUCAUUUCAAUAAAUCAAGUUACAAAUUCAAAAAAAGGUUAUCUCCUAACUGUAAAUUGUUAAGAGUAGCUGAGAAGCCUCUUGGCUCAUGGGAAAAGGUUAUCAUCAUGGUAAAUAAUCAAUCAUUUGUAUUACUAUCUAAUAUAAGGCAAUGAAGACUGAGAAAGGGUUGAUUAUAUAUGAAUAUAAUUAAAUUUCAAUCACAUGAAUAUCAUAAUCAACGUAGAUUCUGUUCAACGAUAUAGACACACUAAAAGGAAAGAGGAU